CUUGUAAACUGACCGAAGCCCCCACGAUCCACCCCUGCAUCCAGCGCCGCCCGAGCCCGCUCCCUACAGCGCACCGCCGCCCCUGGCCUCCUACCUCCUCCAGCCAAGCUCGCCGCCGCCCAGGCCUCCUUCCUCCUUAGGCCAAGCUCGCCGCCGCCCCCGGUCCUCCUACCUCCUCCGGCCAAGCUCGCCGCCGCCCCGGGCCUCCUUCCUCCUCCGGCCAAGCGCGCCACUGCCCCCGCUCCUCCUUCUUCCUUCGGCCAAGCAGCGCGCCAUUGCCGACGGCGCGCCUUACCUCAUGCGUGGCCGUGGCCCCUGCCGCACCCCCACCGCUACCCUAUCCGUGGAUCCCCGCGGCGCGACAUGGAGGUCGCCACCUCCCGCGGCCAUGGCGAACACCUCCGCCGCUGGGCUAGCUCUAGCGCCGCCCCCUCACCUGCCCUCCCCCUCCAGCAACUCUACUAGCACGCCCGACGCUCCCUCCGGCGAGCAGCUCCGCGCCACACGAUAGUUCCCCCCAUGCCUAUGGUCCUUUGCAUCCAGCACUGCUAACACGCAACCUCUUCUACGGUUUCUCUUCAUUAUGGCAUUCAGUUGCGGUUCAACAAGAAUAACAGGAGCAGUACAUACAUCUCUUUUCCCUCUACUGCUCUUUUCUCUCACUAAUUUGUUUCUCUCUGUAGUGCAGCACGAGGGAGGUUGGACGGAUUGCAAGAAAAAAAAGCUCAGUUCUACAGGCAGCGCCCGCCGCCCACACGGACUACUUCCUCCUGUCCUCGUCAAGGUAUCGGGCUCACAUCAGUCCAACUAUUCCUCACUUAUCCGUCUGAGCUCCUCCUGCCAUGCUCCUUCACAUAUGAGCUUUUGCCGGCACUGGUGCACGCCGCCACACGUUCAAAGUGUCUAUUGGAAAAAGUUCAGAAGUUUGGUUCCAUAAAAAGUUGCACUUGUUCAUCUGGAAAAGAUCAUGAAAGUUGAGAAGUCAAGGUGCCUAGCACUUAUUUGAUGAAAUGGCAAGCUAAACAAACAUAUUACAGAUGCAGAUAUCAACUUAGCUCAGUUGUGCAUAUGACAGCAUGAUCUAACUUUCCCCCCAAUCUGAUGUGAUUUUAUUUGUAUCAAAUGAACUCACAGAAAAGUUGCACACAAAGAGCAUCUUCUAAAAUGGUUAAGAUCUAUUUUAUAAUUUGCCAGAUAAAGAAAUUUAUAUAGUACUCUUUAAUCAUUUUGUAGUCCCUCUAGAAUGUUUGUUGAUGGUUAGCAAUAAGCAGACCAAAGCAGGGACAAUUCUUUCACUUGUAUGAGACGAACAUAUUUGAUUUCUCAUGAAACCUGUAAAAGUCUAAUUUCAUAACCUUAAGAAAUUACCAAAUGGAUGAGCAAAGUAGUAUUACCACUGUACUGAAUAUUCUGCAGUGGUUAGUAUACUAGAGAGUAAAACUGUGCCAUAUUGUUUGGUUUAAUUUCUGUUUAGUUUUGUGUUCUGUUGUUUUCCCUAGUUGAUCCAUGUGUUAUUGCUUCUAUGUUGUGCACUUCUAAUUCCAUCAUGAAGGAAAGAAGAUAAGCGAGCUAAGUACUUGUUUGGAAAGUUGGUAAGUUCGUACACAUAAACCUAAAGAAGUUCAUUGAAAAAGUUUGGCUUUGUUUAAAAAUAUGUGAUUUUUGGUUGGAAAAUCAUUGAGGAAAUAGUUAAUUUUUGCUAACUCCUGCAGUUCUCUGGUUGGAAAAUUAAUGGUUCAAUUUGCUGAGUCCUUUGGUCUACAAAUUUAUUUCUGUUUGUAUGUAAGUGGCUUAGGCAACAGAAAAAAGCGAGCAGUUCUGUUCAAGGGAGUUCAAAAAUUAACAUACAUGAAGUUCUUGAUUAUUUCGGUUAUUUUGUAUGAUUUAUUUUUUUGCAAAAUCUUGAUGUCAUUUUGCCUUGCAGAUAAAUUUUUUACUGAGUGUACUGGGUCCCUACUGGCUGUAGCAGCUUACUUUAAAGAACUGAACCUUACUGUCUCCAGAUUAGCAUAGAAACUAGGGACGCGGAGUUUGUGAUCCCGAGCACACAGGUGCUCGUUAUCUUAGCCGCUGAGAAUAGCAUCGCGAUGGGUGCAUUGAAUUCUUGUCAGGGACUAUGGUCAUUUGUUAAUGUGGUAAAGCAGGCAUACGGGCGCCGAGGUAAGUGACGGCCACGGGACGGCGUCGACGGUUUGAAUCCGAGCCGUGGCUCGUGACGUCACGUGCGUCCUGAUCCGCGGGCCAGAAAACAUGCUUUCCGGUUAGGAGAAGAACCAUCAUGGUUCCUGGAGGAGGUCAAUGCCAACGAGAUUCCGAUUGAGCUUCUGCAGUAUCCAGUACUAGCACCUGUGCCAGAAUUGCCUACGCAGUUGUCAAUGGAGGAGCUGCUGCCUUGGCAGCGGACAUCGGCGUGGGUCAAAUCUGUGCGGCGGUGGGGGUGGCGGACGGUGACAUUGCACUCUAACAGACGCAAGCGUCAGAACAGUCUGAGUAGAUCGGCCCAAAAGCGCCUGGAUGGACACAAAGUAGCAACCUGUCCGGACCGUGGGGAAGCUCCAGAACAAGCUGGUCGACCAACUUGAUGCAAGAACUGUGGAGUAGAGGGUCAGCGACGAAACAAAUGAAACAAAGCAGCGGAGCUAAGACUGAAAAGGGACUGAAAAAUGAUGCAUGGUUGACGUAAAACAAAAUGCAGGGGAACCAAUGGAGCUAAGGCUAGAGAGCAGCUGAAAUUUAGUUAUCCUUUACUGCAAUGUCAAUUUGAUGGCGUGUAUAAUUAGCAGGAGUGGUGCAAACAUACUGUAACAUGUGUGAGCAUCAUGCAAAUCCGUUUGCACUGAAUAAACCUAGACUUUUAUAUAGUGUAACAUCGACCUGACUUCUGUGUGAGAUGCAUGAUGCAGUUUAGCUGCUCAUAUUUCUGAACAUGUUAUGCAUGCCCUGAACCUGAUGAAUAAAAUGCAAGGACUCCUUUCCCUUCUGGA